CGCUGCCAUAUUAUAUUUCUGCUUAUCUGUCAAUAGGUGUUCAAGAUCUGCACUGUGUCUAUCUCUAUCUACUUAAAAAUGAUAAGUACUUUGCCGUUCCCAUAAGGAUGCUCCUAGAUGGGAGCAGAAGACCAGUUCCUCAUUGUCCUUGUGGCAGCUGUAGAUGCUUCGGGAAAGAGCACAAUAACAGGACAUAUUUGGAGGGAUCCUUUCCCAGGCAGUGAAUCAGAGAAAAAAACUUGCCAGAGAGGAAUGGAAGAUGAUUUGGAAGCAUGCUAAUGAGCUGGGGGAAAGACAGGAUUCCCACAUUUUUACUCUUAACUACCUUCACCGGCUGCGAAGGUAAGGCUCAGAGAUGCUCACUCGACGUUUAAAUAAGUAAAUAUUACUUUGAAUUUAAGGUUUUUGCUCAGGAAAUUGACAGAGACUUGUGUGCAUGUUUAGCUGAGUUUCCAUUGUUGUGGAGUAAUGAAUAUUCAGGCACCUGACUUUGGGCUCUGUCCCUAAG
rnacentral:lncRNA from 1 species